rnacentral:lncRNA from 1 species
CCCGUAUCCCUUCCGACAACAGGGGCACAUUUUGGGCAAUGAAUUUGAGGAAGAGCAGUUGGGGUUUGUACAUGCUCUAAGGAUCAGAGCCAAGGCACAGAUAUGAGUAUGACUUUAGCAGUUUUCUUGAAUUUUGAGGGUGAGACAUUUCUCUUCUGUAGAGAGCCAGCUCGGCCAACAUGUCCUGGUUUGCCUGGGACUUUCCUGGUUUCAGCACUUAAAUUUCCACAUCCUGGGAAGCCCCUGCCACACUGGGACAGUUGGCCCCCCCCCGAGCCAGUAGUGACCAGACCAACCCUCUACUGGACUGUUUGGCAAAGAUUAGGCACAGAAUUCCCUUGGCUAUUUGUGGACUUUUACUCUUCUUUAUAAGUUUUUAGAAUUAAUCUUUCCACUUGAAAAAUCAUCUUGAAUUCAAGUUCCGGGGAUCUAAGGCACGGCAGCCAAACCUGAUUUUAAAAGAAAAUAUUUAAGAGAU